rnacentral:rRNA from 1 species
GAGCACGUAGGUGGGUUUGUAAGUCAGACGUGAAAGCCUUCUGUUCAACGGAAGAAUUGCAUCUGAAACUACAAACCUUGAGUGUAGGAGGGGAGAAUGGAACUUCUGGUGGAGCGGUGAAAUGCGUAGAUAUCAGAAGGAACGCCGGCGGCGAAAGCGAUUCUCUGGCCUAUUACUGACACUCAGUGUGCGAAAGCUAGGGGAGCAAACGGGAUUAGAUACCCCGGUAGUCCUAGCCGUAAGCGAUGGGCACUAAGUAGAGGGGUU